rnacentral:rRNA from 1 species
GACGAACGCUGGCGGCGCGCUUAACACAUGCAAGUCGAACGGAAAGGCCUGCUUUCCCUUGUGGAUUGCGGGUACUCGAGUGGCGAACGGGUGAGUAACACGUGAGUGAUCUGCCCCCACCUUGGGUAUAAGCCUGGGAAACUGGGUCUAAUUCCCGAUAGGACUGCAGGGUGGUGCCUGUGGUGGAAAACGAUUUUCUAGUGGUUGGGGAUGAGCUCGCGGCCUAUCAGCUUGUUGGUGGGGUAAUGGCCUACCAAGGCGGCGACGGGUAGCCGGCCUGAGAGGGUGGACGGGCACAUUGGGACUGGGAUACGGCCCAGACUCCUACGGGGGGCAGCAGUGGGGAGUAUUGCACAAUGGGCGGAAGCCUGAUGCAGCGACGCCGCGUGGGGGAUGACGGCCUUCGGGUUGUAAACUCCUUUCGACCGCGAGGAAGCCACCUGGUUGGAAGGGUGGUGACGGUAGUGGUAGAAGAAGCACCGGCUAACUACGUG